UACAGGGGGGGCAAGCGUUGUUCGGAAUUACUGGGCGUAAAGGGUUCGUAGGUGGCCACUUAAGUCAGACGUGAAAUCCCUCAGCUUAACUGGGGAACUGCGUCUGAUACUGAGUGGCUUGAGUGCAGGAGAGGAAUGCGGAAUUCCAGGUGUAGCGGUGGAAUGCGCAGAUAUCAGGAGGAACACCGGUGGCGAAGGCGGUUCUCUGGGCAUGUCCUGACGCUGAGGAGCGAAAGUGUGGGGAGCGAACAGG
rnacentral:rRNA from 1 species